rnacentral:misc_RNA from 1 species
UUUCCGUAGGUGAACCUGCGGAAGGAUCAUACAGAGUUCAUGCCCUCACGGGUAGAUCUCCCACCCUUGAAUAUUUAUACCUUAGUUGCUUUGGCAGGCCGUGGAAACACCAUGGGCUCCGGCUUAUGCGUGCCUGCCAGAGGAAACAAACUCUGUUUUUGGUGAUGUCUGAGUACUAUAUAAUAGUUAAAACUUUCAACAACGGAUCUCUUGGUUCUG